GCCCGGUUAGCUCAAUCGGUAGAGCGUGAGACUCUUAUGUGUACAUGAAAUCUCAAGGUUGCGGGUUCGACCCCCGCAUCGGGCU
rfam:Claviceps purpurea 20.1, WGS project CAGA01000000 data, contig: scaffold00040